UACGAAAAGGGUUUUGCGCCAAAAUGAUAUGAUGAGCCCUUAAAUAAACGAAAGAGUCGCAUUUCUACCAAUUCUCUUCGUUUUUUCUCAAUCUUCUUCGCGCCAAUUUUACUUUCCAAACCUCGAAAACUCCCGAUUCUGUUUCUUCUUUCUUCAUGGAUUCUUCCCUAAUCGACAAUCUCAACACCUCUGUAAUCGCAGACGCAAUCGACGUUAAUGGCGGCCAAUCCCCCAAUACUCUUUCAAUCGGCAUUAAUGGUUCCGCUUCCUGUUUGGUCUUUAGUGAUGAGAGUGACGUUUCGUUUUCCGAUUCUAUUAACCACUCUCAUCUAAAGAGGAAGUACGGAUGGGAAAUUGGAAAUCGGAAACGGUAGUUUGAGUGAGGAAGUGGAUUCUGUUUCGAUUCUGAAGUUGUGUAAAACUCAAUCACAUUCCGCUUCUUGUUCAAGCGAUCCCUGGUUCGGUACUCGAGCCUCUUCCUAUCGCAUGUUCCCGAUGGAGGAUUUGGAAGAUGAUAAUGAGGAUAAUCCGUAGAUUAAAAGUUGUAGACAGUUUUGGAAAGCAGGGGAUUAUGAAGUAAAUUUUAAUCACGAUCCUAUUUCGGGUUCAGCUGUAUAGAUCAUGUUAGAGUUCAUCCAAAAUUUCUACAUUCAAAUGCAAAAAGCCAUAAGUGGGCUUUGUGAGAGCUCUCGGAUAAUUCUUUAGAUGAGGCCUGCAAUGGGGCUACAUAUAUUAACAUUGACAUGUUGAUAAACGAAAGGGAUGGUAGUAGAAUGUUGCUAAUUGAAGACAACGGUGGUGGGAUGUGCCCAAAUAAAAUGUCUGUCUCUUGGUUAUUCUUCAAAACGGAAAAUGCCCAACACUAUUGGUCAAUUUAUGCACUCUUUCACUUUUUAGCUUUCAAUAAAUUGAAUACACUUUUAGUUAAUUCACUUGAAUAGGUAUAAUUUGACAUAAAUUUAUUUGUCUUAGAUGGGAAUGAGUUCAAAACAAGUACCACGAGAUUUGGAGUCGAUUGUCUUAUAUUUUCCCGUUGCAAUGGAAGUGAUCAAGGAGGAUUACAAGCAACUAUUGCUUGGAGCUCGAAGAAAAAAGCAACUAUUGCUUGGAGCGAAUGUUUUAAUGGAUGAUAGGCGAAGUGUUUCAUCGAAUGUUUUCACUUUAGGGUUAGUAGUUAUUACUUGGAGCUCGAAGAAACAAGCAACUAUUGCUUUAUCAACUUCGGAAGCAGAAUGCUAACAGAAUUUCAACAUGAGCAAGAGGGAGCAAGUGUUAUAUUAUGCGACAACAAAGCAACAAUCUAAAUGACGAAAAAUCCGACAUUUCAUAGCCAGACAAAGCACAUUAAUAUUCGCUUUUAUUUUAUUCGUGAUUUGGUUGAAAAGGAAGAAGUUUAUCUGUCAUAUUGCAGCACACAUGAGCAGUGACUACUUUGGUGACAGUUUGAUUUCUAAACAUGAAUGUCUAACAAUAAUUUGAUUUCUAUACAUUUAAAUUUGAAUUUGAAGUGUCUAGGUUUGAACUUUUAAAUUCUUGCGCAUGCAUUAGGAAGAAUUAAACCUACAAUGUGAUUUGUCGGGAAGUGGAUUACGUUCUAAGACGACUCUUAGUAAAAUCUAAUGAUUAUAAUAUGGAUAAAAUGAAUCGUAGAGCACAUAUGCGUAAUGUUAUGAAGUUUUCGAGCACGAGAUACUACCACUAUUACUCCUACCGGAGUGACUCCCGAAUCAACAACCUCCUCCUGUUCCUUCAUCCACCUAUAGGUUUAACCCCUCUUCUGGACAACCUAAUUUUCCGCAGUUCGAAGAAGGGAAAAGAAGAGCUAAUUGAUUUGCUCAAGCCGAGGUUAAGGAUCCAUGUCUAGAAAGUAAAGGAAGCAUCCAUGAUUUCAAAAAAGGAUGCUGCAAUCACUAUUAACGAGCAACAAGGGAGGAUAUAUGUCAGCUACAAAACAGUAUCACUCUUUCAAAUCCCAAAACUGAGCCUAACGAUAUUGCACAAAGCCAACUCUUAAUUUGAUUCUCUAGAGCUUUACUUGAUGCUUUGUAUAUUUUCAAAUUUAAAGUAAAUGUAUAAAGUAAAGUUUGAUGUAUAUAUUCCAAGACUAAAGACCCAAAUGGGACGUGUUUUACAUAUUCGAGACUACAAAAGUUCUGAAAAUAAUUUGGUACAAAAAUUUGCAUUUUUAUUGGAGCAGAGAUUAAAAAGGGAUCAUAGUUAAGUUAUUUAUUUCUAAUAUGUAACAAAAUCAAAACUGACUCACUGAGUUCUCAAGGCUUUGAUCCAAUCGAUUUCGACUUGAAAGUCACCAGGCCCAGAUGUAGCACCAGGAAAGCGACCAGCCGCAUUAACCGAUAAAGACAUUCCAA